rnacentral:misc_RNA from 1 species
GAAAUGCGAUAAGUAAUGUGAAUUGCAGAAUUCAGUGAAUCAUCGAAUCUUUGAACGCACAUUGCGCCCGCCAGUAUUCUGGCGGGCAUGCCUGUUCGAGCGUCAUUUCAACCAUCAAGCCCCCGGGCUUGUGUUUGGGACCUGCGGCUGCCCGCAGGCCCUGAAAACCAGUGGCGGCACCAUGUCUGGUCCUCGAGCGUAUGGGGCUUUGUCACCCGCUCCCGUAGGUCCAGCUGGCAGCUAGCCUCGCAACCAAUCUUUUUAACCAGGUUGACCUCGGAUCAGGUAGGGAUACCCGCUGAACUUAAGC